rnacentral:rRNA from 1 species
CUUGGCAGCCAUAGCGAUACGGUACCACCUGAUCCCAUUCCGAACUCAGAAGUGAAACGUAUUAGCGGCGAUGGU